UACGUAGGGACCGAGCGUUGUCCGGAAUCAUUGGGCGUAAAGAGCGUGUAGGCGGCCACUUAAGUCCUGCGUGAAAUCUUGCGGCUCAACCGCAAGCGGUCGUGGGAAACUGGGUGGCUAGAGUGCGGGAGAGGAGAGUGGAAUCCUGGUGUAGCGGUGGAAUGCGCAGAUAUCAGGAAGAACACCCGUGGCGAAGGCGGCUCUCUGGAACGCAACUGACGCUGAGACGCGAAAGCGUGGGGAGCAAACAGG
rnacentral:rRNA from 1 species